rnacentral:rRNA from 1 species
UGGGGAAUUUUGGACAAUGGGCGAAAGCCUGAUCCAGCAAUGCCGCGUGUGUGAAGAAGGCCUUCGGGUUGUAAAGCACUUUUGUCCGGAAAGAAAUCCUUGGCUCUAAUACAGUCGGGGGAUGACGGUACCGGAAGAAUAAGCACCGGCUAACUACGUGCCAGCAGCCGCGGUAAUACGUAGGGUGCAAGCGUUAAUCGGAAUUACUGGGCGUAAAGCGUGCGCAGGCGGUUUGCUAAGACCGAUGUGAAAUCCCCGGGCUCAACCUGGGAACUGCAUUGGUGACUGGCAGGCUAGAGUAUGGCAGAGGGGGGUAGAAUUCCACGUGUAGCAGUGAAAUGCGUAGAGAUGUGGAGGAAUACCGAUGGCGAAGGCAGCCCCCUGGGCCAAUACUGACGCUCAUGCACGAAAGCGUGGGGAGCAAAACAGGAUUAGAUACCCUGGUAGUCCACGCCCUAAACGAUGUCAACUAGUUGUUGGGGAUUCAUUUCCUUAGUAACGUAGCUAACGCGUGAAGUUGACCGCCUGGGGAGUACGGUCGCAAGAUUAAAACUUCAAAGGAAUUGACGGGGUCAUAGCUGUUUCCU